ensembl:lncRNA
CUUGAGUUCAACCUCUGGCUUCAAAAUGGGAAGCUGUUGUUUCUUCUCAUGGUUUUUACAUUUGUUUGACCAGCAGGAGGAUAGACCAACCUCUUCUCUUCCUCCUGACUCCUUUUCUCGUCCAUUCAGAUCCAGGAAAGCUCCUGCCUGAGGCGGGUGUCACUCCAAGCCGAGCCGACAUCAGGGGACAGCGGCGCUCGCCCCUGCGGUUUGGAGCCGGGUCUGGGCCGGGGGAGGCGGAGGCCUGCUGAGCCGGGCGGGGCUCGGAGCUCUCGGCGGCUGACUGCUUCGGCUUGAGGACUUGCUGCUCCGUCUCACAGGGGGGUUUCGUGUCUGCAGCCCGGGGAGUCAGGGGCUGUUUCUGUCUGGUGUCCGGGGACUUCCCGGACACCCGCAUGGCGUGACCUUCCUGGAGGCCUCUUCCUGCCUGGUUGAUCGCAGCCGGAGCUCAGUAAAGCUCUGGAAACAAAAGGACUUGAAGCGCAGAAGGACGGAGGCACUUUGUGAAGUCCUGCUCGGGAUUUCCUGGGAUCUGAAGGAAGUUCAUUUCUGAAGGCAAACUGGAGGCCCAUGCCACAGCCCAGUGCCGAUCCACGUCCCCUUAUUUUGGUGUUGCUGCUAGCACAGGAGAUGCGCAGUGUCUCAGAAACCGAUCUGCAUCUUGGCGAUUGAGAUGAGAUUUGUUUGGUAGAAAAACCAAAUGGUUUUCUAGAUGUUGGCUGUACAAAUCAUGAGGACUGCGCGAAAGUAAUGGGCUGAGCUGACUGCCAACAGGAACUGCUAUUUAAAGAUGGGUGUGGCGCUCAAGGAGCUACUGGAGUGGACACCGCCCAGCCUGGACCCCUCUGGCAGGCCACUUCCCCAGCUUCCAGGAGUGUCGGCUGCGAAUAUCGCACAGCUUCCCUUUCUCCAGAGAAUUGCCCUGGGCCAACAGAAGCCUCUUUGCAGGAGGCCACUGUCCUCUCCACCCAGCCUGUAGAAAUGAUGGACGGGACAGGAGGGGUACAAAAGCUGAGGUGCCUUGCUGGAGGGCCUCCCCCUCUUCCCCAGCCUGCUUCCCUCAGCUCCUGCAGCUUCUUCCUUUCAAGGACCCUCUCAGUGGAUCCCGGACCCCUGAAUUCUGUCUCAGGCUCUGCCUCAGGGAGCCCAGCCCUUCCCUAUCUUACUGUUGAAGACACGUGGGUGUGAGAGGUGGAGACAUAAGGGCGCCCUUGCUCUUCUGUGCCUGCAGUCGAUUUGGCAGGUUGCUUCUCGUGUGCUCUCUGCAGAAACAGAUGCCCUUGUGAUGACUGCAUCCGGGACCUCUGCGGACUUGAGCAGUUAUUUGAGUUCCAACUUUCACCAGUUGUGAGAAGACUUUAAAUAUUCUGACCCUAAACCGUCUUGGGAUGGCUGAUGUCAUGAAAAUUCUUGAGUCAUAGAAGCCAUUUGCUGUUUAUUCUGCUGAGAGUGUUUUGCAGAAUCUUUCAUCCUUGAGCCUUCUGUUGUAGUCUCAGGUCUGUGGCGUUUUUAAUGACUUGGAAACACGGGCCUGGACUAUCCAGAAGCCUCUGCUAUUCCUUUAUGGGGAAUGCUCUCUCCCUUCCCCUCUGCCGAAUCAAGUCCCUCAGCCUACAGAAACCACGCUCCUGGAACAUUCUCUGAGGACCCUGCCCCUGUCUGCUCACUCGGGUCACUCCUCCAUCCCUCUGACAUUGCUCAUUAGAAUUCCACAGAGGUGUGCUCAGUCAAAGUGAAGACACAUGCAGGCUUUCUUCAUUUAAAAUUAAAAAAAAAAUUUGUGGAGGGGCCAGCACAGUGGUGUAGUGGUUAAGUUCGUGUGCUUGGCUUUCGCGGCCCAGAGUUCAAGGGUUUGGAUCUGGGGUGCAGACCUACACACUGCUCAUCAAGCCAUUCUGUGGUGGCGUCCCGCAUAAAAUAGAGGAAGAUUGGCACAGUUGUUAGCUCAGCAGCAAUCUUCCUCAAGCAAAAAGAGGAAAAACAUUGGCAACACAUGUUAGCUCAGGGCCAAUCUUCUUCACCAAAAAAAAAAAAAAAAAUUGUGGAAUAACAUACAUAAAGGGCACACAUCUUAAGGGUGCAGGUUGAUGAAUUUUUACAAACGUAUUUCCCAGGAAAGCACCACCUGUGUCGAGAUCUAGGAUGUUUCCUUCUCAGUCCAUUAUCAUCCACCCACCAGGAACAGGUAACCACUCUUCUGUCUUCUGAUAACAGAAGAGCUGUGCUUCUUGAGCUUCAUGUAAAUAGAAUCAUACAGUCUGUAUUCCUUUGUAUCUGGCCUCACUCGCUCGCCGUUACAUCUUGAGAUUCCCCCACCUUGUUUGUGCUUUUGUUUAGAGCAUCUCCUGUCGUAUGUUUUCACGUCUUAUUUCUCUGUAUGUUUUGCCCUAUCUUCUGCUUUACCCUCCAUACUUAAAGUACAGGCUGUGUCUUUUCUGUAUUUCGUAUCUUAGCAUAUGGUGGACAUUUGCAAAUAUUACAUGGCGGAUGCUGCCUAGAUUCCAGUUCACAUGGCUACUCAGUGACAGCGAGCUUUUAUCUUCUCUCCCCGUGAGCAUUGCUCGUCCAGUCGAAAUAGUUGUGUCGAGGGCUGAAGCAUGUUUCACUGUAAUAAUAACAACAGUAAUAAAUAUUUAUAAGACCUUUAUCCAAGGGAUUCAGAGUGACUUGCAGUUUCUAGUUCACCUUUUCAUUUUCUUUUGGAGCUAUGCAGGAAAGCCACAGAACCCUUUUGCUGAUGGGUGAGCUGAGAUGGUCUGAGGCUAAGCGGCUGCCCCAAGUCCUGGAGAACAUCGGGGCGAAGUGAAGCUGUAAUCUCGUUGUCGCUGCCUCUCUCUCUGGGAUUCAGUCCUCGGCUUCCCUGAGCCCUGGGAGUGCUUAGGACUGUGCCAUGGAAGGAGACGCUCACACAGAUGGCACUGGGGGCCUCACGGUUUCGGAACCGUCCUCUUUUCAGUUCUUGUCGUGCUGUUGUUUCAGUGUGUGUGUGAGGGUUUGUGGCCUGUCCUUAACCUCUACCCUCUGUGACACUUUUUAUUGUGUUACUUUUAAGAAACCGGAUGUAGAAAGUUACAGGUUUAGGACACGAUGAGGGGAGCCGUUAGUCAGCGCUCUUCCACAGUGGACGCGCGUGGCGUUUCCAGUUUCUGGGGAGCUCGGUGCUCUGAGGACCACAGUUCAGGAGAGGCCGCUGUGCUGACCCCCUGUCCACCGUAUCUUUCCUUUUUGCCAUAAGCUCUCUUUUUUGUUUCCUGUGGAAUCACGUUUCCUAUUUAUAGUAGAAAUGAAUGGGAAACAGGAUUCAUUUGAUAAAAAGAAGUGAUGCCCAACUUCGCCAGAUAAUGUUUGAUGCCUUUGUAACAUAGAGAUACUCUCUAUUUGAUUCACAAACGUGUGCAAUUGGAACUACUCCAUGUAAACAACAUGCAGGAGGCACUUUUCACAUGAAGAGUUUGAAGACAGAGGGGCUAGGGGACAAAUUUGGACAAAUUUUGAGAGAAUUUGUAAAAUAAUUUAAAGUCACCUCUAUCUUCUCUUAAGUUUGGAGUUUGUUUGUCUUCACAUUGUUUAUCUUGAUGGGUUGUGCAGGGGAAGAAAAAUAUCUUUUCCUUCUACCCUUCUAGGUAUCUGGCUGGGGCCCUUCUAACAAAACACAGAUGAAUAAGAGAAAAGCAUAGAAAUUUAUUUAACAUAAGGUGUAUGUGACAUGGGAGACUUCGUGAGAAAACGAGGACCUGAAGAAGCGAUUGAACCUGAGUGUCUUUAUACUAGGUUUGAUGAAGAGCGGAAAGUCAUGGAAAAUGCGAUAGGACAAAGAGUAUGAGCUGAGGGGAGUGAACUGGGGAAACACAGCAAGGCCUCUUGGUCCAGAUCCUUCUCAGCAUCCCUCCUUCCUCGGAGGUAAGGAUGCUCCUCUCCUCGGGUACCAGGAGGGCCUCUCUCAUGAGGGUUUAGUGACCUGCUUCAGGGAGGGUCAGAGGGUCCUUCCUGCACCUGCUGUUUCUCAAAUUUCAGCUUAAACUAUUCAAUAUGCCAAGGUACCAUAUUUUGGGCUGUUGUGUCCUGAGCCCUGUCGUGGGGUAUAUUGAAAGCUUUCAACAUCACUAGCAUUUCAUUGCUUCUUUAUAAAUGGACUGAAAUGGGAAUUUCUCCCAAUUCCUAUCUUCUUUCUGUUUUUCUUAACUCAAAUUCAUGACUGAGAUAAUUGUAAUUUUCUUCUUGACUUCUAGUGUGAUUUAACAGGAUGCUCUAUGACCAAUAGCAUAUACGUUAGUGGCAAUUGACCCCUCAAUUUUGAGACAUGUUUAACUGUUUUUGAUUCCUCAAGCUCAAAUCAUGAAUGUACCCAAAUAAAGAAUAAAAUACUCUUCUUGAAAACACACACGCAGUAAAAUAGUAAAUAUGAACAAAGGAUCUGGUGCUGGCACAUGUUAAAAUUCAGGUAAUGAUGCUCUUUCUCUGUUUUGAAAAAAGUUAAAAUUCCACAUAGGUGCUCAGUCCAGGAAGGAAAGUCUUCACAAUCUACUUUGUUCAUGAGAUGCUUUAACAAUAAACAGCAUGGCUAUUCUGGAAGCACCUGUUAAACCAAUUAUAUGGCAAAUUUUCAAGUUCUAGAAUGAGCAGAUUUGUAAUUGGUGAAAGAUUUGAUAACCAAGAGAAGACAGGCUCUCGAGGAGACAGCAGGUGGUGAACAGGGAGUGUGUGAGCGGGAUCUUGCUGGUGUCUGUGUCUUACUGCAACCUGGAAAUUAGCCACUUUUACAUGCAAUAUUUUUUUUUCACGUAACAGUUCCCAAAUAAACAGUUAAAGCAGUUUCCGGUGAUUAAGGCAAUAUAGGAGAUUAGUUUUGUUAUGUAUAAUCACCUUUGCUUCUCCUUUAUUGAUGAAAAGAGUUUUUCUCAGCGGGUUGUGUUAUCUCUUUUAGAUGUUGCCUGAUCUUGUUUUUUAAAUGUAAAUCAGCUUUUUAAUCUUUUUUUAUGUAAAUUUGAUAGCCCGGUACCAGCAAUUAUUCUGCUUUGUUGCAGCUCCCUCUUUAGAACUGUCUCUGUUUUAUGUUUAAUUGUCCUAAUUGUCCAAAUUUGAAUAAACCUGGAGAACAGCAAUGGAGAUCAUUACUUGUUUUUAAAUUUACAAAAAGGUUUAAGCCCUGCUUCCUGAACUUCCCUUUA